rnacentral:rRNA from 1 species
GACGAACCGUGCGAACGUUGUUCGGAAUCACUGGGCUUAAAGGGCGCGUAGGCGGGCCCGCAAGUCAGGGGUGAAAUCCCACGGCUCAACCGUGGAAGUGCCUUUGAUACUGCGGGUCUGGAGGGAGGUAGGGGCGUGCGGAACUGUGGGUGGAGCGGUGAAAUGCGUUGAUAUCCACAGGAACUCCGGUGGCGAAGGCGGCACGCUGGAUCCCAUCUGACGCUGAGGCGCGAAAGCCAGGGGAGCGAACGGG